AAUUGAAGAGUUUGAUCAUGGCUCAGAUUGAACGCUGGCGGCAGGCCUAACACAUGCAAGUCGAACGGUAACAGGAAGCAGCUUGCUGCUUUGCUGACGAGUGGCGGACGGGUGAGUAAUGUCUGGGAAACUGCCUGAUGGAGGGGGAUAACUACUGGAAACGGUAGCUAAUACCGCAUAAUGUCGCAAGACCAAAGAGGGGGACCUUCGGGCCUCUUGCCAUCGGAUGUGCCCAGAUGGGAUUAGCUAGUAGGUGGGGUAACGGCUCACCUAGGCGACGAUCCCUAGCUGGUCUGAGAGGAUGACCAGCCACACUGGAACUGAGACACGGUCCAGACUCCUACGGGAGGCAGCAGUGGGGAAUAUUGCACAAUGGGCGCAAGCCUGAUGCAGCCAUGCCGCGUGUAUGAAGAAGGCCUUCGGGUUGUAAAGUACUUUCAGCGGGGAGGAAGGCGAUAAGGUUAAUAACCUUGUCGAUUGACGUUACCCGCAGAAGAAGCACCGGCUAACUCCGUGCCAGCAGCCGCGGUAAUACGGAGGGUGCAAGCGUUAAUCGGAAUUACUGGGCGUAAAGCGCACGCAGGCGGUCUGUCAAGUCGGAUGUGAAAUCCCCGGGCUCAACCUGGGAACUGCAUUCGAAACUGGCAGGCUAGAGUCUUGUAGAGGGGGGUAGAAUUCCAGGUGUAGCGGUGAAAUGCGUAGAGAUCUGGAGGAAUACCGGUGGCGAAGGCGGCCCCCUGGACAAAGACUGACGCUCAGGUGCGAAAGCGUGGGGAGCAAACAGGAUUAGAUACCCUGGUAGUCCACGCCGUAAACGAUGUCGACUUGGAGGUUGUGCCCUUGAGGCGUGGCUUCCGGAGCUAACGCGUUAAGUCGACCGCCUGGGGAGUACGGCCGCAAGGUUAAAACUCAAAUGAAUUGACGGGGGCCCGCACAAGCGGUGGAGCAUGUGGUUUAAUUCGAUGCAACGCGAAGAACCUUACCUACUCUUGACAUCCAGAGAACUUAGCAGAGAUGCUUUGGUGCCUUCGGGAACUCUGAGACAGGUGCUGCAUGGCUGUCGUCAGCUCGUGUUGUGAAAUGUUGGGUUAAGUCCCGCAACGAGCGCAACCCUUAUCCUUUGUUGCCAGCGGUCCGGCCGGGAACUCAAAGGAGACUGCCAGUGAUAAACUGGAGGAAGGUGGGGAUGACGUCAAGUCAUCAUGGCCCUUACGAGUAGGGCUACACACGUGCUACAAUGGCGCAUACAAAGAGAAGCGACCUCGCGAGAGCAAGCGGACCUCAUAAAGUGCGUCGUAGUCCGGAUUGGAGUCUGCAACUCGACUCCAUGAAGUCGGAAUCGCUAGUAAUCGUGGAUCAGAAUGCCACGGUGAAUACGUUCCCGGGCCUUGUACACACCGCCCGUCACACCAUGGGAGUGGGUUGCAAAAGAAGUAGGUAGCUUAACCUUCGGGAGGGCGCUUACCACUUUGUGAUUCAUGACUGGGGUGAAGUCGUAACAAGGUAACCGUAGGGGAACCUGCGGUUGGAUCACCUCCUUA
rnacentral:rRNA from 1 species